CAAGGAGAAACUCUCCCGAAAUCUACAUCAAAUUGAAAAUGCGCGGUACAACCAGAAAUGAUAAAGCUAUCUAAAGCAGGAAGCCCAAAGCACAGAGAUCAUCACGAUAAACCGACAGGAGGCUGGAGUCAUUCACAUCGAAUCAAAAGUACGUGAUUCAGGCAUCAAGAGUUGUACAACGUAUCCCAAGAAUAUCUUACAAAGGAGUGUAAGUCUGAUCAACAUUCGGCUUUAA